ACACUGUGGGGCUGCGUCCGGGGCACGGGCCAUGCCUGAACCUUCUUCCACCGCCGCGCCCCGGGCCCGCGCCCCGCCGGCCGCCCGCACUGGGUCCCGCGUCGCCCCCGCCACCACACCGAGCCGCCCAGUACCUCCUCCUCCUGAAGGCAGAGCUGGGGGUCCGUACGGAGGAACUUCAGAGGCUGGAAGCACGCUUGAAAAAGAAAGGGGGCCUGGGCUUUGCACCAGCUUCAGGAUUGCGUACUUGUUUCCUCAUCCGUGAAAUGGGAGCAGCUGAAUGUGUCUCCUCGAGUUUUCGAGGGGAACAAACAUGUAUCCUGGAUGAAAAUAAACCAACUCUUGAAACUGCAACCCAAGACAUUCAGAAGAGAUAAGGCUACAGUGAAUGUGGAAACUUUGCACGUGUUUGGAUGUAUUGAUUGCCUUAACUGGCAGCUCUUUGCACUGCCAGCUUCCCUCAAUUACAUGAGGAACCACGAGGGGGCAAUGUCUUCCCGAGCAAUAAUAGCUGAGUGGUGGUCUUAGGACCCCGUGGUGGCCCAUGAUGCUAGCACUGUGUCUUUGGCCAUUCUUGCCUGUCAUGGAGCAUACUCCACAGAAGGGCAUGGUCUUCUUGGAUCCCGGCAUGGGCCCAACAAAAAUGACAAUGUAGUCAAUAGUUCCACUCAGACCUCACUUAGGAGCAGGUGAACUAUGUUGUGUGAUAUCAGGAUGCCCGGAGAACCUCUCCUAUCCCCACCCAGGGAAGCAUGGCUUAAUUCCAAAUAAAGAAUCUGAUUUCUUUGUCUUUAAGCCAA
rnacentral:lncRNA from 1 species